rnacentral:rRNA from 1 species
GACGAACGCUGGCGGCGUGCUUAACACAUGCAAGUCGAACGGAAAGACCCUGCUUUUGUGGGGUUCUCGAGUGGCGAACGGGUGAGUAACACGUGAGUAACCUGCCCUUGACUUUGGGAUAACUUCAGGAAACUGGGGCUAAUACCGGAUAGGAGCUCCUGCUGCAUGGUGGGGGUUGGAAAGUUUCGGCGGUUGGGGAUGGACUCGCGGCUUAUCAGCUUGUUGGUGGGGUAGUGGCUUACCAAGGCUUUGACGGGUAGCCGGCCUGAGAGGGUGACCGGCCACAUUGGGACUGAGAUACGGCCCAGACUCCUACGGGAGGCAGCAGUGGGGAAUAUUGCACAAUGGGCGGAAGCCUGAUGCAGCAACGCCGCGUGCGGGAUGACGGCCUUCGGGUUGUAAACCGCUUUCGCCUGUGACGAAGCGUGAGUGACGGUAAUGGGUAAAGAAGCACCGGCUAACUACGUG